rnacentral:rRNA from 1 species
GAUGAACGCUGGCGGCGUGCCUAAUACAUGCAAGUCGAGCGAACGGACGAGAAGCUUGCGUCUCUGAUGUUAGCGGCGGACGGGUGAGUAACACGUGGAUAACCUACCUAUAAGACUGGGUUAACUUCGGGAAACCGGAGCUAAUACCGGAUAAUAUUUUGUACCGCAUGGUUCAAAAGUUAAAGACGGUCUUGCUGUCACUUAUAGCUGGUUCCGCGCUGCAUUAGCUAGUUGGUAAGGUAACGGCUUACCAAGGCAACGAUGCAUAGCCGACCUGAGAGGGUGAUCGGCCACACUGGAACUGAGACACGGUCCAGACUCCUACGGGAGGCAGCAGUAGGGAAUCUUCCACAAUGGGCGAAAGCCUGACGGAGCAACGCCGCGUGAGUGAUGAAGGUCUUCGGAUCGUAAAACUCUGUUAUUAGGGAAGAACAUAUGUGUAAGUAACUGUGCACAUCUUGACGGUACCUAAUCAGAAAGCCCCGGCUAACUACGUG